CAUGUGAGCUGGGAGCAAGCAGCUCUGUUGUUGUCCUCAGGGAAAACCAGGCACCUUUGGGGCAUCUCGUCUUGGCUGCUUUUCAGCGCUGCGUGACAGUGGGUUGAAUGGAGCCGGAGGUGUUUCUAAUAGAGCUGUCUGAAGUCAGCCAAAAUACAGCUGGCGUGCUCUGCACCGGCACAGCAAGGCUCGCUCAGAAGCUGCCUUUCCUUUUGUUUCGGUGUUUGGGUUCCAGGCAUGUUGUGAAGUGAUGCUGGAGGCUUUGCCUUGGCUGUUGGCUGGGCAGCCUGGUGGUCCAGGAGCGCGGAUUUGCUCCGGGCUGCAAAGUGCCUGCUUGCUGAAGCUUCUGGAAACAAAGAGCUGAGGAGCUCACAGACCUGUCCAGGCAAAACACCUCCUCUGUUUGCUCUAAUAAUACUGUUUUUCUCAAUUCUACACCCCCAAAACAAUGUGUCUGGGCCUGUUUUAAUCCACUGGAUCACUCGGAGGCUACAGCUGAGGUCUGGUAUCCGGAUGUUUCCCAAACCUGAUCCUGCCCGUGUCCCAUCCUGCGGGCUGCUGGAAGAGGAAUUUGCAGGCUCAGUGAAACUGCUCAGGUCUCCCCGCUGAGGCUGACUAUGUGUUCACCCUCCAGACUGCUUGGGAACGAAGGCAAAGAGAAGAACAUUGUCCCGCAAAGCCAUGUGCCUCGCUUGCAGUCUGGGAGCUGAGGCACAGCUUCUGACUUUGCUCUGCAGCCCCUGUGUCCCAACCACAACCCAGGACACUGAUCAACCUGAAGCUGCUGGUUUUCUUGUGAUGGGCUCCUGUAUGCGUUCCAAAUACUGUUGAGGCUGCUCUGUGGGUAUUUUUAGUGUGCAUCAGGUGCCAACGAGGAAAACAAAAGCCUCUUCUUCAUGAGCCCACGUCUGCAGUUAUUUCCAGUGCCUGUGUCCUCGUGUGCAUCCUGCAGCCCUUGGGGCUCCGACAGCAGGCACUGAGAAAAACCAAGCUUGGGAAAAAUCUAAAUACUUCCCAAGGAAGAACUUCAGGAAAUGCCCAUCAAACAGCUGAGCAGGGGAUUCCUGAGCAGGUUUCCUGUGCUUCUUUGAAAUGCUGAUAAAAAGCUUCGUGAGAUACCUGCACAGAGGAAUUUCCCAAACAGGGCACUGAAAGCUUCACACCACAAUGUAUGCGUGAUACUGGAGCUCCCACACGUGCUGGGUGUUUGGAUAGCGUUCUUAGACCUGCUGAAACCUGCGUAAUGUAGUAAUUAUGGGCUGCUAGCUGUUGAAAGGACUCGUGAAGCUACUCCAAGGGGCAGCUGUCACCUGGGUCCUUCAGAUCCCAGCUCAUGUUUGCCUCUGCACGUCCUCAGCAUGCAAACAGGGCUGAGGGAAAGCACCCUGCCUCCUCCUGUCCCUGGGUGCAGGGAUGGCAAUGGCCGGCAGCACUGACAUCUGCCUCCUGGUGUGACCCCAAGGAUGUGACUUUGGGACAGAAACAACAUGCAGCCAGGCACCCCUGAAAUGCAGCAGGGUCAUGGGAUCCAGCUCUGGCAUUAGUGUGCAGUCCUGAACAUCUGCACCAACAUUUGUGUGCCCAGCCAUCAUUGCAGCACCUGUAGCCAUCUGAGCUGGCGCUGGCUGAAGCAUGAAGCCAGCAAUUUACAAAGUCCUGCUUUUGGGUCCUUCCUUCCCCACAUCUCUGCUGGGAACUGCCGGUGCCCCCAUCCCACCACGGGAGCCCUGGGCUGGGAACACAGCAGUGCCUGCUGCUGGGGAGGUAACGCCGCGAACCAGCCUGCGCAUCUUGCAGCCUCUACAAUAUUGCCAAACCUUGUAACACAGAACCAGAUCCCUUUCCAAACCAGCCCCUUGCAGCCCUUCCUUCCUCUCCAAACUGCACCAAUCUCCAGCCAGAGCGAGCCUUGGGUCUGCCCUGCUUCACCCACCUCGUCGCUUCUGUCCCUGCCUCGCAUCUCCCCGCAGCGGUGUUCGGACGCCUCGCCUCUCUCCCGCUGGCUGAGAGCAGCGUGGAUUUCCUUCCAGCGUGACGGUUGGGGUCACUCUUUCACAACGAGCGCUUUCCUCCCGGUACGAUCAGCUCAGCGUCGCGUCCCGCUGACGCCCAACCAGGAUUUCAAGCUUUUGGGACUGCCUUCCCUGGAAAAAAUUAGCGACAUGUUUGAUUUUAAAUAGCGGAAGCGUGCGGGAAUAAGCUUUUCUGUGUGGGUUCGGAAGUUUGCUAAAACACUCUGUGAGCUGC
ensembl:lncRNA